GUACAAAGUGGUGCAGCAGGCUAUAGGCCUUUAGUCCUUUACAGUUUACAGUUGUUGGAGUUUUGUCCUUGGGGAUUAGAGCUAUGGCUGUAGUAUUGAGCAUAGGAGGUAGUCUACAAGUGUUAAAGAAUUCCUUUACCCCAGCAUAAAUGUCCUCCUUUACUAUGUCCCAGUGUUUUAGUAAAGAUCUCAAUUGGGAAACCAUCAACUCCAGGUGCUUUGUCCUUUGGCAUCUCCUUUAUAGCUUCAGUAAUCUCCUCCAAUGUAACCUCCUGGAUCAGCAGUGCUUGUUGAGCUCUUGAUAAGCAUUUACCUUCCCUUAUGAUAGCAGUGUUAGCAAGGCACUUUCACAAUUGCCCAUCAGUGACUGAAAGACAGCAAUAAAUUCUUGUUCAACAUCUUCUGGUUCUGUUAGCUUUAGUCAUGUGUCUGUAUAGAUAGAAG
rnacentral:lncRNA from 1 species